AACGGACGCUGGCGGCAUGCCUAACACAUGCAAGUCGAACGAGACCUUCGGGUCUAGUGGCGCACGGGUGCGUAACGCGUGGGAAUCUGCCCUCUGGUUCGGAAUAACUCAGGGAAACUUGAGCUAAUACCGGAUAAUGACUUCGGUCCAAAGAUUUAUCGCCUGAGGAUGAGCCCGCGUCGGAUUAGCUAGUUGGUGAGGUAAAGGCUCACCAAGGCGACGAUCCGUAGCUGGUCUGAGAGGAUGAUCAGCCACACUGGGACUGAGACACGGCCCAGACUCCUACGGGAGGCAGCAGUGGGGAAUAUUGGACAAUGGGCGGAAGCCUGAUCCAGCAAUGCCGCGUGAGUGAUGAAGGCCUUAGGGUUGUAAAGCUCUUUUACCCGGGAUGAUAAUGACAGUACCGGGAGAAUAAGCCCCGGCUAACUCCGUGCCAGCAGCCGCGGUAA
rnacentral:rRNA from 1 species